GACGAACGCUGGCGGCGUGCUUAACACAUGCAAGUCGAACGGAAAGGCCCUGCUUUUGUGGGGUGCUCGAGUGGCGAACGGGUGAGUAACACGUGAGUAACCUGCCCUUGACUUUGGGAUAACUUCAGGAAACUGGGGCUAAUACCGGAUAGGAGCUCCUGCUGCAUGGUGGGGGUUGGAAAGUUUCGGCGGUUGGGGAUGGACUCGCGGCUUAUCAGCUUGUUGGUGGGGUAGUGGCUUACCAAGGCUUUGGCGGGUAGCCGGCCUGAGAGGGUGACCGGCCACAUUGGGACUGAGAUACGGCCCAGACUCCUACGGGAGGCAGCAGUGGGGAAUAUUGCACAAUGGGCGGAAGCCUGAUGCAGCAACGCCGCGUGCGGGAUGACGGCCUUCGGGUUGUAAACCGCUUUCGCCUGUGACGAAGCGUGAGUGACGGUAAUGGGUAAAGAAGCACCGGCUAACUACGUG
rnacentral:rRNA from 1 species